UGAAGUUUUGAAAAAUCAUUUGAGAUGGAAUUUUGAAGACAAAUGAUUCAGUAAACGUCAAGUGAUCCUGGUGUUACAGCAAAAAACCAGAAACACCACAGAUUCUUCAGAAAACAUGAAGGAUUGUGCGUGCUGGCCCUCAAGGUUUGCCAGACCAGAAAGUGUCAGCUAUAUGUUGGCCCUCUGCCUUUGACAAUUGCUGUAUCACACACCAUCCUGAUUUAGAAAUAUGUCAUAUUCACUGUUGCUGUGUUAAAAUCUUGGAACAACUCCUUGAUAAUACUUUGGGUGUGUCUGCACCACAUGGACUACAGCAAUUUAAGAAGGCACUAACCAUGUAAGAACAAUUGGGGAUCAUAGAAUCCCUACAGAAUGGAAGCAGGCCAUUUGGCCCAUCGAAUGCACACCUCCAAAGAACAUCCCAACCAGACCCAACCCUAUGUUUCCCAUGGCUAAUCCACUUAUCCUGCACAUCCCUCGGCGCUAUGAGCAAUUUAGCAUAGCCAAUUCCACCCAGCCUGCACAUCUUCGGACUGUAGGAGCAAACCAGAGUACCCUGAGGAAAUCCACGCAGAUAUAGGGAGAAUGUGCAAACUCCACGUAGCCAGUCGUCUGAGUGUGGAAUCAAACCUGGGUCCCUCGUGCUAACCACAGAGCCAUCGUGCCUUGUCAGUGAUGUGCAUAUUUCCUAAAUGAUUAAAGGAAUAAAAUUUCUAUUUUCACUGUAUUGCAAUACUGAUUAUUGAAUUGCGUGUUUAGUUGACUUUUAGACAAGGUUGUGAGGUUUGCAACAGAUAACGAAGACUGGUUGCCUUAUCAGUCCAGUUAUACAAAUUUCUUUUUAAAACAUAUAAAUAAUAAGUUUUGUAAUUUUAUAUAAACAAAAGCUUUAUUAAGCUGUAAUUUUUUUAUGAAUGGUAUAUAAACUGUGUCCAUUGUAACCUUAGUACUAUAAUUCAACUUUUCAAUCCAUUCAUAGCUAUCACAGGUGAUGGUUUUAAAAUUAAUCAUGGUCCAAACUUGCAGAGAAACUAAAAUUGCUGUGCUGUAUCACUGGUUGCAUGUGGUGUGAUGUAUACAUUACCUUUAUCAAUACAGGGCGAGUUCCUCAAAUAUACUUAAGCAUGAAUAGUUAAUUACAUAAUUUUGAAGCACUUAUCUUUUUGUCCUCCAGAUUUUAUGUGUUGCAAUAUGAUGAGUUUGAGAUUAUUGCUUCUUAUACCCAAUAUUGAUACAGAACUAUCCAAAUGCAUUAUUCAGUCACAUUUACCGUAUUGUAGUUCCACCCGACACCUUCCAUAACUUGCUCAAUCCCUGCAUGAUAGCAUUUAGUUCACGUUCUGCUGACAAAAGACAUUUUCACAAGCUGUGUGUGGAUCCUCGAUAUGCAAACACCAAGUGCCACUACGUACUGAGAUUCUACCUGUAUGCACAGUUGUAAAGGAUGGGACUGGCCUCAUUGCUGCGGAAUGCUGCAAAUAGUUGGACCUUUCUGUGUCAUCUGUCCCUCAUGGAGAUGUUUGCAAAGAAAUCCGCCUUUGGCCAUAUGUCCAUCAGGAAGUGGUCAGCACGUAGCAUCCUUGAGACCCUGAGGGGAAAGGAGAGGAUGGAUCUUGUCACAUGGUUCAUGAGCAGACUGUUAAAGUCAUUUGGCAGAAUGCCUCAUCACCAGAACUUUCCAACAAGCACCAAGAUAUCGCAUGACUGAUGGUGAGAGGGGCACUACCUGUAAGAUCCUUCUUCUGCACCUGGUCUGUCUGCACCACCCGCACAUCGCCCUUGAAGUGGCUGCAAGUGAUAGAGACUGUCUGGAGAAAGAUGCAGUGGUUUUUGUCGAGUUCAUUCCAAGCACCUCCAUGAUGCAGGACUCUGCGCUCUACAGUUUGUUCCCUAGGAUGCACACCAAGAUAAACAUCGACUGUGCUUGGACGACCAUCAAUUCAGAGAAAAAUGCUCUUUGCUCUGGCCGAAACUUGUUGGUCUUUCCAGAGCAUGGAGUUGACCCUGACGGAAUGUUGCAGACUGGCACAUUCCAAGGUCCAAGGCUAUGUGCUGAGGGACACACUAAAGCUUGGGGCAGCUGCUGCCAAGGCACAGUAGGGAAAGACCACUGUGUGAGGUCUUUCUGCUGAAGUUAAAAGGGGGUCUGUUCAGUUAACAGACCCUCCCAUACCUCAAAUAUAUGUAAAUCUGAUCUUGAGGAAGUAAUAGAUGACUUUGGUUUGUUUGAUAGAGUGAAACUCCAGUGCUGUUCAUGCUACUGUACAGAACUAAACUGCUUUUGCAGCUAUGUAUUUAUAUAUAUAUAUGUAUAUUUCAUAAAUAAAGCAUAUUUUUGAAAUAAAAAAAA